UUACAUUUAUAACUUCGGCUUGACAGAAGGUGAGAAUUCGAGUGUGACGUGCGAGUAAAUGCAAGUCAGCGUGAACAAUACAUGGGUACUGUUCAUCUAUUUAUAGGCACAGGACGCAGCCUGUGAGAAAUUAUAUACAUGCCCUUUACAAAUGCUUACAAUCAUAAUACAAGCUAUCACGGGUCGAUUGGUCAUUUCAUCUUUAAGUCAGUUCACUCCUUCGUCUUGAGACAUGCCACUAUGCCGAAGCUUUAUGGGUGAAAGCUUCGGCACUACUUUUGAGAGGAUCUGCCGAAGGUGUUUCUUCCUACAGGAUCUUCGGCGAUGAAGCAUAUCCCCAACAACCGUUCGUCGUUAAAUCCUCAAUACAUAUGUUCUAUCCACACUUCGACCCGCAACCGCGAGUAGCUGGUUCAUCGCUCGCCAGGCUUGGCUUCCUGGCACUUGUGAUCGCUGCCCUGCUGAAGCAAGGAAGAAGACGAACCCAGGGCCCUUGAUCUCGCAAUGAAUGGUUAGGAUUAGAGGGAAUGGUGUAGAAGCCAGGGCUGUAGGAUUUUAAACGGAUGGCGUAGAUCAAAUUUUGUGUACCCCUUCACCCCGCGGAAUUCGGGCGGUUGGAUCAUAAUCGUGUGGUUCAGAUCUGGGCUGGAUUCCAUUAAAUGCGGACCGUUAGAUCCUGAUCUGAGGCCCUAUAUUCCAUACCCUUUUCGAAGAAAUCAAAUCUAAUUUGCAUCAUCAGUUGGGGAUCGAACGGCCAGAUCUGGCCGAUACCCCUUCGGUCGAUAAACUUACAUAAGAGACCGUGGAAACCCCAGUAAUAAACCCGCCAUCCAACUCAGGGUUAAACUGAGUCUAGGAAAUUUUUGUAGGUUAGCCCCCAACCUCUCUGGAUUUAUGCGCCUAGUCCAGAGCUCAGGGAAAUUAGAUAAUUAAAUUUAGAAAGUGAUUUUCACUACACAAAUAAUUCUAGAAACUUGUGAAAUUCGUAUUUAAUUUAUUUUAGCUCCAAAUUGAUCCAAUCCAGUGGCAUUAAUUUUGUAAUAAUAUUGUCUAUCAACUAGUAGCUCUGUUUAGUCAUGCAACUUGAAUUAAAAUUAUUCACUUGAGUUAUUCUAAUCUAGCUACUAAAUAACUUUAGAAAUUCAUAACUAAAUAACUGUAACUCUGAAUUUAGUGAUUCUUGUUCCUACGAUCUCGUUACGACACGUAGAAUAUUAUCGUGCAUUCUAUUCUGUUGUUUGGUGUGAUGUUAUAUUUUUUUAUACCAUGUUUGUUUGUAUUGUUGCGAGUAGACGAGCCAUCCACAGAGGAUCCAGGGGUUCAUCAGGUAGAGACUGCUGAGCAGGAGCUCGUUAAAGGCAAGUUGUGCCCUUGAUCCUGGCCCCUGGGAUGGUGAUAUCCUGGCCCAAGGCUUAAUAGAAUUAAUAGAGUAUUCAUAUCAACAAGGUGCAUCUUCUUUUUCAGAAGCCUAUAUUGAAAGAACCUCAAAGUUAAGCGUGCUUGGCUUGGAGCAAUUUAGGAUGGAUGACCGACUAGGAAGUUUUCUCGGGUGCGCAUGAGUGAAGACAAAGUGCGCACAAAAGACUCGUGUUGGUCUGUGGGGCCAAUAUAUGAUCCUAGAGAGCUGCCAGGAGUAAGUACCACCGAUCCGAGAUUGGACGGGGUGUUACAAAUAGUAUCAGAGCCAACCCUCGCGGUUUCAUGGGCAUAUGUGGGCUAGGGGUUCGGGUAUAUGGCGCAUGGCGCAUGUGGACCCAGAGUGGUCAUAUAGCAUGGCAUAUGAUGAUACUAGACAUACAGACGUGGCCAAGAGGGGAGGUUCCUGGAUUGGGGUUGACCGACGAGGACGUCGGAUCUUCUAAGGGGAUGGAUUUUGAUAUCCUGGCCCCUGGGAUGGUGAUAUCCUACCCCAAGGCUUAAUAGAAUUAAUAGAGUAUUCAUAUCAACAAGUUGCAUCUUCUUUUUUGGAAGUCUAUCUCGAAAGAACCUCUAAGUUAAGCGUGCUUGGCUUGGAGCAAUUUGGGAUGGGUGACCGACCGGGAAGUUUUCUCGGGUGCGCAUGGGUGAGGACAAAGUGCACACAAAAGACUCGUGUUGGUCUGUGGGGUCAAUAUAUGAUCCUAGAGAGCUGUCAGGAGUAAGUAUCGUCGGUCCGGGAUUGGACGGGGUGUUACAAAACAACACUUUAUGCUGAGCUACGUCUUCACACAAAAGCAUAGACUUUGGUUGUUCUGCCGAAGCAGUUUUAUCUCUUAUGUAUUUAUGUUGCUGGUGAGCUUCGACUUCGUCUAUAUUGUGAAUGGCCAUAAACAUUUUUUAUGCCUAUAUGCAUAUGCAGAUGCAAUUGUGGAUAUUACUCCACAACUCAUGAUCAAUCAAAGAACCAAAUCAAACAGUUAUCAUAGGAACAAACAUUCAAGCGUAUAGAUACUUACAAAAAUAGUUUUGUUUUUGUUCCUAAGAUUAGGUCUCCUUUUCCUAAAGGUCACUUUAGGUAAAGGAUUUCAAAGUGUGAAAUCCACCUUUGUCAUUGGAAGAGAAAAGGUAACAAUAAUCAGAGUAAAGCAACAAUAGAUGAGAAAAGAUUAAGAUAAGUUUAUAAAGAAUCUGAGUAGCAAAGGUAAGUAGGUAAGGGUUGUCCGUUCUAUAUAGGUUUUGUCCUAGAGUCAACAUUCGUCUGAUACCACUUCUGUCACACCAGGAUUUAGGGGGCCAAACCCUGGCGCGGUUCACAUGUGUGCUAGGAUCAAGUCUCACACAUAUGAUGACUCAUGGUACAGAAACGAAUGUCACAACUUUAAUAUAUAAUAGAGUUCUAUACAAAAUAGUUAAAUAAUUACAUCAUAUGAAGACAACGAUCUAGCAACUAAAGUUGACUUGGAGACGACGGCCUAGACCACUCACGAACUCAUCACAACAUCCUUCACACGCCUCAUCCUGUGGUACCUGUACUUGACCUAGGGAAUGUGAGUACAACAAGGGUGAGCUCACAUACGUUCAUCACGCAACAAGUUGUGGGGAAUAAUGUGCAUGAGCUCACUUACGGUGGGCCUCAUGUGAAGUGUAAGGCUUACCAAAGGAGAUGGUUAAAGCUGAGCAUUGCUUUUAGAGUUGGUCAAAAUUUUGUUAGCAGUUAAUUACUAAGUAUAAGUAGAUACCAACCCAAUUAAAUAAGAGAUCACAAUUGAUAAUAACACCCACAAUGCAAUGCAUAUGACAGAUUAAGUUUAAUUCCAUAAUUUAAUCAUGCGAGAGUCCUAAGUCGCUCUUGACCAUGAGCACGGCUGAUAUACCAGUUUUACACUCUGCAGAGGUUGCACCCUUUACCCACAAGUCGUGUAUCUCGUCUACCCAGGGUUUGCAAGGCCCUUAGACACUUCUGAGGUGAAUGGAUAGGGAUCCACUACGAGGCCUUUACAAAGCUCCACUAGCUUUGAAAACCCGCUAUGGUUUCUGAGAAGGGCAAUAUAGGAAUCCCUCGUCCAAAAGUCAUCGCAGCAUGAUCAACCCGAGAACCUCCCUAUACACAGCUCCUCUACCGCCCUUGCCUCUUUCGGGUAAGGUAGUCCUCCACUAGCUUUUCUAAUUAGUCAGCCAAGGGCGUCCCAUGCCACCCUUGUGAUAGCACAGAUAUCUCAAGUUAAGCUCCAUGUUCCAAUUAACACAAUGAUCUUGCCAUGAACAAUAAUUAAAACAACAGCAUAACUGGAACAUGAUCAAAAUAUAACAUUAAUUUCACAAAACCAGGUAGAGUAAUAGCAAAACUACCCAAUAGUUCUUUUGUCUGCAAGGUGUGGGAUAAACAAUGCUAGGGAAGCCUAUUAGGUACCAUCAAAUUAAUCUAAGCAUGUCACAGUGAUUAACAGGAACAUUAAUGGGUAAAGAGAAAAGUGAUCAAGGUCACAACUUGCCUUACACUUGAGAUCCUAGGUACCAAGUUGGUCUUCAGAUUCUCGUGACCUCACCGUUAUUCGUAGCAAUACAUACAAUCAAGCAAGUAAUGGAUAUAAUUACAUUACACCAAAGCAUAUGAACAAACAACAUAAGAGUAUCCUACGCGCUGCUACAAGAUCAUAGGCUCGAGAACCACUAAAUUCGGAGUUACUGUUAAAGAGUUAUGAUUUUCUGAGGAUUUAAGUGUUAGAUCUAAAACAAAUUAAGUACAUAAUUUUAACCAUGUUUUCAUACUAAAAUAAGGUUACUAGAUGAUAAACAAUAUUAACAUGAAUUUAUUGCAACUGGAAUGGAUUAAAAACGAGUUAAACUAAAAUACUUAUGAAUUAAACAAGGUUCUGGAAUUAUUUUUAUGCUAGAAAUAUUUUUCUUUAUUAAUUUUACUCAUUUUAUUUAAUCCUUGUACUGCGACCACUAUUUCAGAAGAGUUUAGGGUUUAUUUUGUAAAUUCAAGGACUCCUUUGUAACACUCUUGCAAAAGGGAUGGGCGGCGGGUUAGUUUGUCAGAAGGGCAGGGUCUCCAUAGGAAAAUUGUUCGGCGAAGGAGUACGAUAGAUUCUGAGUCGUUGGAUUCAUGAUCUAUGGUUACGGUUAAUAUCGCGAAUGAUAUGCUUCCUAGGCCACAGGAUCAGCGAUCAAUGACCCCGGAUUAGUCCUGCACCCUUAAGUUGAAUUCAACUCCCAACCGCACGAUCCCGAUCAGACGAUCGUGAUUUUAUUAAGUCCAGAUUUCAUCACAGUCAUCCAUCGUCGAAUCAGCGAUUCCCAUGCAAUCCCCUGGACCAGGCACCCAUCAUCUAAUUCUGGGCGCCAGAUGAAGAUCCAACGGCCAGGGUUGUUUCUUCUUCCCUGAUACCGGACCACGGUGGCGCAGGCACUAGGCGGCGGUGCCAUUGCCAUCGCACACCCCCCAGCAACAAAGAGCCCAAACCUUACCGUAAAACACAGCUACGCGAGGUGGAGACCAUGCAUAGACGGGUUGUGGGGUCUUACCUGUGAAUCGAGAGUCGCAUGGCCCAUGUCCACGACGAUCCGCUGACCGCCACGAAACUCCACAUCAGCGUGAGAUUACCGGCCUUCCAUUCGCACGGUUAGUCCACGAGAACAUUGCCUGGUCCCAAGUCGGCCCUCGCGUUCUCUAGUGGUACCCGUGGACACCCAGCACGACGAAGCCCGAGCGAUGGCGGUCAUCUUUUCACACCCGCAUCUCCCGCAGCAACGGUGACCAUAUAUACUGCUAUGGAGCCCGCGGAUCGGGGCCAGCUUCAGCAAUAUGCAACGACUUCAAGGAAUCACGGAGUUUGUUGCAGCGCGCAAACAAGGCCAGGCAGGGCUCCCCAUGAAUCACGGUGGAGUUUGUU
rnacentral:lncRNA from 1 species